GACGAACGCUGGCGGCGUGCUUAACACAUGCAAGUCGAGCGGUAAGGCCCUUCGGGGUACACGAGCGGCGAACGGGUGAGUAACACGUGAGUAAUCUGCCCAUCACUUCGGGAUAACUCCGGGAAACCGGUGCUAAUACCGAAUAUGACCACUUCAGGCAUCUGAUGGUGGUGGAAAGUUCCGGCGGUGAUGGAUGAGCUCGCGGCCUAUCAGCUUGUUGGUGGGGUAGUGGCCUACCAAGGCUUCGACGGGUAGCCGGCCUGAGAGGGUGACCGGCCACACUGGGACUGAGACACGGCCCAGACUCCUACGGGAGGCAGCAGUGGGGAAUAUUGGACAAUGGGCGAAAGCCUGAUUCAGCAACGCCGCGUGAGGGAUGACGGCCUUCGGGUUGUAAACCUCUUUCAGCAGGGACGAAGCGCAAGUGACGGUACCUGCAGAAGAAGCACCGGCCAACUACGUG
rnacentral:rRNA from 1 species